AGGCUGGGCGCGUGUGACCCGCAGUGAGCACAAAACACUCGCUGUGUGGUCCUGGGAUCCUAGGGAAGGUUCCGGAGACCCGGGUUCCAGCACGGCCCUGGGAAUCACUAGUUCUAUCUGGAACCUGUCAGGAAACACGACUUGUCCCUCCCACGUCUUCCCAGAAUCGAGAGAUGCACAGUCUCAGACGGGCAGAAGAGCCUCGGACCAUUACAUGCUCAAAGCCAGAUCACCAACUCACCAGCUUGCUAAAUUUACCAAACAUGCCUUGAAGACUAGCUUUCUUGAAGAUGUUCAGUGACUAUGAAUAUGGCCUUCUUAAUAAAUUGGUCUAAAAUAUA